CUUGUCUAAGGAUCAUCUAAGGAUCAUCUCCCCCAGGUUAUGGACAGGGCUGGAGAAGUUUGGAUUGGCAGAUGUCUGGCCUCCCUCCCCAGGGCUCCCCUGGUCUCUGCUUGGCCGUGCUCUGUCCCCCAGAACAGACACUCUGAUUAUCAAGUUGGCCCACUGGAGGGGGGCAGCUCUGCUUUGUUCCCUUGGUCCAAGCCAGCCUGUCAAUAAUGAGGGAUUCCCUGCCUUCCAUUCUUUUUCUUCUCUUGUUCUCAGUUCUGAGGAUUGAACCCAGGCCCUUGAACUUGCUGGGCAAGAGCUCUACCACCGAGAUACAUCCUCAGUCCUUUUAAAAAUUUUAUUUUGAGACAGAGUCUCUCUACAUUGCUCAGGCUGACCUUGAACUUGUGAUUUUCCUGCCUCCUGAGUAGCGGGGAUUACAGGAAUGCACCACCCUGCUGGGAUCCUUGCUGCCUGUUCUGAGCUCUUCUGUGUGGUCCUCAGCUGUUCUUGGAACAAGACAAAGCUCUGUAAGGUACAAAUGAGGGGAUUCAGAGGUUGCCAUGGCCAUUGCUGGCACCUCCUGGUUCCCCCCUCCCACCUUCCCCUGACACACAGAGGUAAUCAGCAGCACUGAAGGCAGAAUUCAGCCAGGAACAAAGGCUGAGGCAGGUGCCACACCCUUCAGCUCCACCCAGUGUCCUGUGCAAAAGGGAAGCCAUGUCCCCGCUGUGUGGGCUGCUUUCUCCUUGGCCUCCCCAUCUGUAUCUCUUAGCAUGUGCUGACAGCUGUCCUUUGGGAUUUAGCUCAAGUUGCUGUGAGCACGCUAUCCUGCCUCCCCAGGGGAAGGCUCAGUGACCUCUCUGGGCAUUCGCAUGUUCCAGGGAGCACAUGUUCUCAUGGUCACCUCUGCUCAGAGUUCCAGCUUCUUCUUCUUUAUUUAUUUACAUACCUGGCAUUGAUCUCAGG
rnacentral:lncRNA from 1 species